UCUAUCUCUAUCUUUCUCUCUCUCUCUCUCUCUUUCUCUCUCUCUCACUCUUUCUUUCUUUGUUUCUUUCAUUCCUUCUUUUUUCUCUCUUUCUUUUUUUCUCUUUUUCUCUCGUUUUCUCUUUCGCCACUUCAUACGCGUUCGAUGCCACUUCGUGUACGUAAACAAAGCUGCGAAAAUGGCCGACACGACGUCGUCGACGACGACGACGACGACGACGACGACGACGAUGACGACAAAUGGUGGCGACUUUACUUGCUUUCCUAUAUACAUAUAAAUAUAUACAAAUGUAUAGAUAGAUAUUCAUAUUUUUUUUUUGCUAUGGAAUAUUAUCGUACAUAAGUACAUGGGAACUCUUGCUUCAUUAUUAUUAUUAUUAUUAUUGUUAUUAUCAUCAUCAUCGUUUUCGUCUAUAAUUUUCUGUCUAUCUUUCUGAUUCUGUUUACUUAUUUCUUUUCUUUUUCUUUCUAUUUGGAAAACAAAAGUUGAGGAUCAUUACACGACUUUUUUUUUUUUAUUUCACGUCAUGAACGGCAUUUAUAUACAUACAUACGUUCAAUGCGUUGGAGUGCAUUCAUAAAAAUCAGAGAGAAGAAAAAUUACAAUUAUUUAUAUAUAUACUUAUUUUUCUUUCUCUGUCAAUUAUAUUACAUAAAUUGUUGCGUGUCGAUUUAUUUGUAAUAACGAAGGAAAAAGAAAGUAUUUGUUGAUCACGAAUUGAAUUGAUUGAUGUUAUCAUCGUUGUUAUAUUUAUUUGAAUAUUCUAUUAUUUCUAUUAUAUUUAUAAGUCGUUGCACUUUGUUAGAGAGAGAGAGAAACAAAUAUGUAGAGUUCUAAUCACGAGUUAGAAAGCUCACGCGCGUGCACGUUGCGGCUUUGUUUACUCUGGAGAAUGUUGUAAGAGUAGAAUGACGUCGACUGUGGCGACUCUUCAUCGAAAACGAACGAGAGAAAAAGAAAGAAAGACUGUCAGAGAGCGAGAGAGAGAGAGAGUGAGCGAAUUGGUGGGAGUGGGAAGGAGGCAUCGAUCGGUCCGUUGAUUCUUAUGUGAGAAGGGAAGAGAGAGUGAGAGAGAGAGAGAAAAAAUAUUUUGUCAUCUUUUCAAAUGGAACGACCUUCAAUCGAUUGUUAUUUAAAUAAUUUUCUUAACAAUUUUUCCAUAUUCUCACAAUGCAACAGGAUUAUGAAAGAGAACAAGAUAUUUAUUUAUACAUCUUUUAUGUGAUUAAUUAAAAUAAUUCAAUUUUUUUUUCCCUCAAUGAAAAUAAUAUUAUUUCUAUUUAUUGGGAAGAAAAAAAAACAAUUCUUAUCGUAGGAUACUACAUGGAGAGAUGUAUAUAGAAAUUUUUAUUAAUAUUUCAUUGCUUUCAGAAUAGCAAUCGUUUUAUUAUAGAAAUAAUUCAAUAAUAAAAAUUAAUUAAGUGUGUUUGUGUGUGUGUUUGUUUGUAUACGGCAACAAUGACGAACCCUUGAUCCAUGGGUUACUAUGACCUGCAAGAGAAGUGAGACUUAAAAUCUUUGAAAACACAAAAAAACUUGAAAUUAUUUAUUUAUAGAAAUGAAAUAUAUAUACAUAUAUAUUUAAUUUCUAAUAGUAUCUUAAAAUGUGUCUAGGGAAAUUUAAUUAUCUGCUUCUGUAGCAUUGUUUAAACAUCUGAUAUAGAAAACUUGAUAUAGAAAAAUUUCUAUCUCGAAUUUUACAUCAGUUUUGAAUAAAAUUACACUACAUAAUUUUAAUUUUGCUUUCUUUUUUUUUCUACUACAAGAUGACUAAACAUUUAAAUAUAGAAUGAUUUUUUUUAAAUUACUCGGUUCAAAUAUUUAAUCCACGACUGGUGAGUGGAAAAUUUUGUUGUUUGAUUUUAAGUCACCGGCCAAAAAAGAUUUGGCGUCAUUGAUACAGAAUAUGUCAGUUUGUACGUAAAUAUGAUUUUUUUGAGAUUUAGAAAUAAAGAAGAAACAAACUAAGGAUAUAUCAUAUAUACAUAUGUGAAUACUGAUUCCGUAAUAUUUUCACUUUGACAAUCGGUCAUAUAUUUCGAACGUUAUGUCACGUGAUGAGGAACUGAGAGAGAGAGAGAGAGAGAGAGAGAGAGAGA